rnacentral:lncRNA from 1 species
CCAGAAAAUGACUUCAUGAGAUGAAAUCCCAGCCUGUCUCUGUGGACUGCAGUUCAGAACCCAUCUGGGAGGGGAGGUACCAAGCCCAAACGGCUUCUUCCACUGAUUAGUUCUUCAGGCCUUGGCUCCACUCACCCACAGCUCGACCAGACCUUGGCAACCUUCAGAAGGCUGGAGGGCUGGAUUGAGCCAGCCAGGAUCAAGCAAAUACCUGUGAAUCCUUGCUGCUGUUAUCAGAGCACCCCCUCUUCCCAGGUAAUGAAACUGAAGGCAAGAUGGACUAAGAUCCCUGCUUCCUAGUCCCAUACCCUUCCCUCUAGAAGGGAGUCCCCCCAGCUGUCUUUUUUUUUUUUUUAAUUUCAAGAAGCACAUAUCCUAAAGAAGCAUUAGGAUAAGUAUAGUAUGACUCCCAUAGGUUUUUUUUUUUUUAAGAGAGAGUGAGAGAGGGGAGAGAGAGAGAAUUUUAAUAUUUAUUUUUUAGUUAUCGGCGGAUACAACAUCUUUGUUUUGUAUGUGGUGCUGAGGAUCGAACCCGGGCCGCACGCAUGCCAGGCGAGCGCGCUACCGCUUGAGCCACAUCCCCAGCCCCCCCCCGCAGCUGUCUUGAAAGUAGAAAGAGGGGGUAGGGUGCCAUUUCGGAAUAGGAGACAGACGUCAAAUCUCUUCUCUGCCAACAAAUGGUGCAGAGCUAGAACUCCACCCAGUCUGCUUCAUUUUAUAGCCCAGAGAGCUGCAAAAAUAUGGCUGAGCCAGGAUUGCCACCUCAGUUUUCUAAUUAGUCCAGGCAAUCCUUCCUCUGCAUUGUGCAGCAUCAGAUCCUUAAAGAUUCUUGAGAUAAAGUGGCACUGCCCUUUAAGGUGAGGCAGAAAUGCAUACUGUUGAAAAGCAUGGGCCCAUAUGUCAGACCCUGGGGCAAGAACCUCAGCUUCACUAACCACCAUUAAGUGAUGGGUAAGCUUCUUAACUUCUUUGUGCCUCAGUUUCCUCAUCUGUAAAAUAGGGAUAAUCACAGUGCCAUCUCAGAAGCUUGUUACCAGAAUGUUAUUAAAAUGUGUAAAGCCCCUAGAACAGUGCCUAGCUCAUGGUGUGUAUUAUUGAUAUCACAAUAUCAAUAAUUGAGUCACUCUGGUCUUUUCCUCCUAUACAUGUACCUGGAAUCAUUUUAGGUAAAAGAGAGACUCCUCAUCCAUCCUCAUAGUCCCCUAUGCCAUGAAUUAUUUCUGGAGCAUCUGUGACAGUUUCUGAUUCUGUUCCCCUAUGAGCUACUGAACACCUGGACUCAUCCUGAAAAACAAAGGAGCCUUGUGGUGACCCUCAUGGUUUCCAUCACCUUCAUUCCUCCUCUGCCCAGUCCUCUGCCUUCCAGAAGGUUGAAUGCUGCUGAUUCCAGGUGUCCAGGCCCCAACCAAAUUUGCUGAAGCUUCCAGAGAAAUCACUGCUGAACUAAACUCCGCGUGCUAAAGUGGGAAAUAAUGUUUAUCUCCUCCUUGACCUUGGUAAAUAGAUCUGUGGGUCCUGGGGGAGUGGGAGGAGGCUUCCCUGGAACACAGUUGGCGCCAGCUCAUGCGAGGUCCAUAGGACAUUAAGAGGCUAAGCACCAGCCUCUGAGGUGGCUACUCUGACCUUUGAAUGUGGUGUUGGAGGGAUGGACACCGGUCUCUAAGCUGCUUCCUGCCCUGCUCCAUGGAAUUGUCUCUAAUGGGCGAAAUGUCUAACGCUAUGCCAUUGUCUUAGGUUUUCAAAUGAUCACUAUCGCUAUCAUUAACAGCAACAUUCACAGUCCCUGAUAAGGUACCCUCUCUGUUGCCCCGGGCCAGUCUAGGCUUUUAUCCAAAAACUGAGAUUCCCACAGAGCAUCUUCUGGGGACUCUUCCCUGCGGGACCUGGACGUGCAGUCCCGCAAUUUCGGCCCGCAGGACAGGUUAAAUUACGAGAGUGACUGUGGCAGGAAUGCGGCACGAAGGCACCU